rnacentral:pre_miRNA from 1 species
CAUACCUAACUGGGUUAGAGCUCUGGCUCCAUCUCCUUUAGAAAAUCCUUUGAGGAGUGGGCCUUUCUCCCUAACUUGCUG